GGCGCCUCUUCGCUUUUCUAUCUUCAGUGACCUUCGCGUGCCGGCGUGCGUCGGGAUUAAAGAAAGGGGUGUAGGUCAGGGGUGGAGAAGGGAGUCGCGGCGUGAGUGGUUCAGUUGUAGCUAGGGGUAGCGGGGCGUAGUAGCGGCGGGCCACGGCAGCGGAACCUAGGGGGUGGGCGUGGUAGCGGCGGGCCGGCCACGGCAGCGGGGGUCGGGGAAGCAGGUCAUGGCGCGGCGGGGGAGAGAGAGAGCAGCGAGGAGGAGAGGGGGCUAGACCUAGACCUCCCUCUCGCGGACCAGCGGCGGGAUGGAAGAGAUGGGCAGCGAGGGGUGGAGAGGAGGGAGGGUGACACGGACGGAGGUACUCGAGGCCGGAGAGGGGUCGGCCGCUGCGGGGAAAGGAAGGUGUCGGUUGCUGCUGGUUAGCAGAGGCUGCUCGGCGGCACCAGACGGGAGGAGGAUGAACUCAGUCUAGGCCGGUGGGGUCGGAGCCUAGGCCGGUGGGGUCGGAGCGUUGGCCGUAGGUGGCGGGUGGACGUACGGAGCAGCAGCAUCCUGUGGCGGUCCUAACAACUCGACGACGAGGAACACGACGACAACUACACAACACAACUAACCCACGAAUGGCAACCCCUCGUACCGUAGACCCUCGGUUUAUAGUAGCCUCAUACCUCUAAACCCUCGCCUUCGCCUAAACUAGCCCCCAGUGGCACUUCUCUCACGAAGGAACCGAGCGAUGGUUUCCUUUUACCAGACGAAAACGUGGGGUGUUCAAAUAUCUACAUACAAAACACUCGAUUUUCCUGGAUAACCAUCUUAGAUUGAGCCAAAAACCUAAAAUUAUAGAUAGACUACUUAAUCGUGAGAUCCUACCUUAGUCAAAGAUUGACUUUGAUCUACAAUACAAACCACUACAAUAUGACCUCUGUACUUGGAUGUUUACAUACAUACAUAUGUACUACCUAACAACAGGAAAACCGACACUACAUCAUGACCUGAACACUUGGACAUACAUACGACACUACGUCAUGAUCUGAGCACUUGGAUGUUUACAUAUGUAUACAUACAUACGUACGUCUGUACUACAUAACAACUCUAUAUAUAAUACUACGUUGAACUUAAUGA
rnacentral:rRNA from 1 species